CGUGCUAACUAGCUGUAGUUAUACACGUGUUGCGUUCUGCAAGUUAACAAACCAUACAUUUGAGUUCCGAAUAGCACGUGAACGCGGCAUCCAUGCAGAAGUAGAGCAUACUAUUCACACGUGAGGGACAAUUAAAUGGAGGAUCAGAUGGUGACAGGGGUCUCAGAGUCAGGCAGCCAGGGAAGACCAGUCUGACAGGACAAUGACCCAACACACCUCCAGGCUAUGUAAGGGCUAUUUGACCAAUAAUGAGAGUGAUGGAGUCCUGCAUCAGAUGAUCUGGCCUCCACAAUCGCCCAACCUCAACCCAAUUGAGAUAGUUUGGGAUGAGUUGGACCGCAGAGUGAAGGAAAGCAGCCAACAAGUGCUCAGCAUAUGUGGGAACUCCUUCAAGACUGUUGGAAAAGCAUUCCAGAUGAAGCUGGUUGAGAGAAUGCCAAGAUUGAAGAAUCUCACAUAUAAAAUAUAUUUUGAUUUGUUUAACACUUUUUUGUUACUACAUGAUUCCAUGUGUUAAUAUAUAGUUUUGAUGUCUUCACUAUUAUUCUAUAAUA